GGGUCAGAUCAGAGCUUGCUCGCAGCCGACGAGUUUGGACGGGUGAGUAAUGUCUGGGAAACUGCCUGAUGGAGGGGGAUAACUACUGGAAACGGUAGCUAAUACCGCAUAACGUCGCAAGACCAAAGUGGGGGACCUUCGGGCCUCAUGCCAUCAGAUGUGCCCAGAUGGGAUUAGCUAGUAGGUGGGGUAACGGCUCACCUAGGCGACGAUCCCUAGCUGGUCUGAGAGGAUGACCAGCCACACUGGAACUGAGACACGGUCCAGACUCCUACGGGAGGCAGCAGUGGGGAAUAUUGCACAAUGGGCGCAAGCCUGAUGCAGCCAUGCCGCGUGUGUGAAGAAGGCCUUCGGGUUGUAAAGCACUUUCAGCGGGGAGGAAGGCGGUGAGGUUAAUAACCUUGUCGAUUGACGUUACCCGCAGAAGAAGCACCGGCUAACUCCGUGCCAGCAGCCGCGGUAAUACGGAGGGUGCAAGCGUUAAUCGGAAUUACUGGGCGUAAAGCGCACGCAGGCGGUCUGUCAAGUCGGAUGUGAAAUCCCCGGGCUCAACCUGGGAACUGCAUUCGAAACUGGCAGGCUAGAGUCUUGUAGAGGGGGGUAGAAUUCCAGGUGUAGCGGUGAAAUGCGUAGAGAUCUGGAGGAAUACCGGUGGCGAAGGCGGCCCCCUGGACAAAGACUGACGCUCAGGUGCGAAAGCGUGGGGAGCAAACAGGAUUAGAUACCCUGGUAGUCCACGCCGUAAACGAUGUCGAUUUGGAGGUUGUGCCCUUGAGGCGUGGCUUCCGGAGCUAACGCGUUAAAUCGACCGCCUGGGGAGUACGGCCGCAAGGUUAAAACUCAAAUGAAUUGACGGGGGCCCGCACAAGCGGUGGAGCAUGUGGUUUAAUUCGAUGCAACGCGAAGAACCUUACCUGGUCUUGACAUCCACAGAACUUUCCAGAGAUGGAUUGGUGCCUUCGGGAACUGUGAGACAGGUGCUGCAUGGCUGUCGUCAGCUCGUGUUGUGAAAUGUUGGGUUAAGUCCCGCAACGAGCGCAACCCUUAUCCUUUGUUGCCAGCGGUUAGGCCGGGAACUCAAAGGAAACUGCCAGUGAUAAACUGGGAGGAAGGUGGGGGAUGACGUCAAGUCAUCAUGGCCCUUACGACCAGGG
rnacentral:rRNA from 1 species